CAUCGGAUUAAAAACAGUUUGGACGCUUAGGAUUGCGCCACGUCAUCAGUUAACAGUACGCGGUUUGACCACGCGGAUGAACAGUAACACGGUUUGACCCAGGUGAACAGUGACGCGGUUUGGUUGAAAAUAAUCCUGUGUGAUGCAUGUACCGUACGCGCGAUUUUUUCGUCCACUGAUAUGCUGCCACGUCACCAUCAACAGUACAUAAGAAUUUUAGCCCAAUAGGAUCGUGACACCUCAUCAGUUAAUGCCACAUCAUCAGUCAAUGUCACGUCAUCGAUCCGUCUAUAUGAACAGUGUCAUGAACAGUAACGUAGACAGUACCGUACACGUGAAUAGUAACAUAGACAGUACCGUACACGUGAAUAGUACCGUACAUAUGAAUAGUACCAUUUUUCCUUUUAUGCUCUUCCUAAGGUUUUCGACCGUCCUGAGUUCAAAAGUGAUGUCUGUUUUGCCGUCUGAUCUCUCGUUUAUUGUGAAAUGAUCAUGAUACCCCUAAAAUACAUAAAAUACUUAAUUAAAAUAAAACACAUGUAAUUAAAUCACAAGAAGGUUAAAUACAUAAAAGUAAGGGUUGUUAAUAAGACUUGAAAUGUCAAAUGACAGUUUUCUCCUUUAUAAAUAUACAUUUUCUAACACUCAACACACCCCCCAACCAGCUUAUUACUAGUCCCUAGCAAAUAAAGCGAAAACGAAAUUCAAAUCCAAAAUGAUUUUUUUUUUUAAUAGAAACACUCGUGUUUAUUCAAUCAGAUUAAUUAUAGCAAUCAAAUAAAAGUAUAAGCAUUAUCUCCAGUCUAAAGAAAUAUCACACCCACAUCAACCAUCCACAUGAAUCAGCCCAGUAGACUUUGUUAUAGCUACUUUCAAGAAUGACAUGUCAAACCCUAAAAUCUCACUGGAAGUAGUGACACUCUCACAAAGAAAUUAAACCCAAUAAAAAUAGUCACUCCAAUGAAUGGUAAUUGAGAGAAAAUAAUAAAGAAGUGAUAUCACAUGCUCUCACCAAGAUGAAAGAAAUAUGCCCUCAGCUUAGAAAUAAUACAAUCUCAAGUCAAACAAAAAUGCUAGUCAACCCAUUUUAUUUAUCUUUUUUUCUUUUAUUAUUAUGCAUCACUACAUCUUUUUAGCCCAUAUAACUAGCUUCUACUUCAAACUAUAGUUCCCUAAAAUCAAGAAUGACUUUUAUUAGGACGUAACGUAGGCUAGGGACAUGGCUAAUACAGAAGGGAAAUAAGGAAAACAAAGUGUAUGUUUGAGAAAAAUGCAGAGAAUUUUUUUUUUUUUUGAAGUUACAAGGUGUAUUUCACCUAUUGUUGUUAUUUUUAUUCUUUUGAAACAACAACUUUUGUUUUGUUUUUUUUUUUUUUGCUUUUAUUUGGCAUAACUUCACUGAACAAAAUAAUUAUUUACAUUUUCUCAAACAUAAAUAGGUGAUGGAACUUAUAAGACAUCGGGUAAUACUCCAAAUCGGAGUGGGUCAAGAUGAUAAGUUGACAAAGAAAAGGUUUUUUUUUUUAAAGACUCAAAAGGGGUAACUAUGGAUAUUUAAUAAAAGGGUGGCUAGAAUGACUCAAACGGAUCAAACAUGGCAUUUCUAUCAUCUUUUAGGGCUCUAAAUAAUUAUCCAUAUCUACUAGUUAGAUGAGCCUCUCAAUGUAGCAACACACAUUUUUUUCUUUGUCUUUUUUUUAUUUUACAAUUUUUUUUAAGGGUUAACUCAAAAGAAAUCUAGAGGUCGUAUAUAAAAUAAUAAACUGCUAAGCUAUAUAAAGAAUGGGCAAAAGGGUUACUCUCCAAGAAAAAUGAUAGGCUCAAAAACUCAUUUGGCACUUAUUUAUGACAUGUUCAUUCCUUCAAGCAACUCAUAUUUGUCUCCGACAUCAACAUGUAAAGUAGCAAAUAUAGCGUAACAUCACUUAAGACCAAAGAUAAUACAAAUACUAAAAUUUGAAAUUAAUCAUGUCAUCCAAUGUUAAAACAAAUAAUACAACAAUUUUUUUUUAAACAACAUUCUACCCCCCAACCUAUUCUAAACAUGAAAGGAAAAUAUGCAUGCAGAAAUGUGAAAAUGAUGUAGAAAAAUUUAUUAGAAAAAGAAUUUUUUUUUUUUUAACUAAGAAGAUGCGUUUCUAGAGGUACGACACUCCAUAUUCAGCCAUCUUCGACUCAAAAAUUGAAAAAUAUAUAUUUAUAAAGGAGAAAGAGGAAGAAAACAGUUUUUUUUUUUUUUUAAACGAUGAAGAUGCGUUUCUAGAGUAACUACACUCCAUAUUCAGCCAUUUUCAACACAAAACGUUAGCAACAGUUAGUUUCUACAACAAAAAAUUAGUAAAAACUUAACCAAGAUUUCACAAUUGUCGACUAUUCCCUCCCCCAACCAGAACGAAACAUUGUCCUUAAUGUUUGAAAGGAAAGAAGUAGAGUUUAGAAGACAUCACCUGGGUGGUGCAACACAGAAGAAAAUAUUUACAGGCGGAGAGUUAAAUCUAAUUUGUACUUCUUACUGCGGCUACUGUUACCAUCAUUAUUUGGUCGCUCUAACACAAAGGUCCAGGGGUCUGGCUCCGGUUUAUAAGCUUGUAACAUAUCAAGUAGCUCAUUAGCAGUGUGAGCACAAAUAAAGAGUUUUUUCACAUUAGAAGGAAUGAAAUAGUUUUUUAUUGCAUGGUUAAGAAAUGCGAUAAAGCCAUCAUAAAAGUUAUUGACAUUUAACAAACCGAUGGGUUUCUGGUGGAUGUGCAGAUGGGCCCAAGAUGCUAGUGUGAUAAGUGCCUCUAGUGUUGCAAGAUCUCCUGGAAUGAAAAUAAAAGCAUCAGCAUGAUUAAGCAUUUCAGUUAUUCUUUCUUGCAUACCUGAGACGACUAACUCUUCUCCAGUUGAUGAGUCAGACGAACUGCCCAAUGGUUUUAGGACUCUUGGGAUGAUGCCUAACACUUGACUUCCUCUGAUAAAAGCUGCUUCUGAGACCAUUUUUGAUAACCCUCGGUUACCUCCUCCAUACACCAAAUGUAAAUUUCUCGCUGCUAUGCUUCGACCAAGAUUUAUGGCUGCCUCAACGAACUCUUUAUGUUUGCCAUAGGUAAAUCCAGAAAGCACACAAAUAUUCUUGAAUUGUCUAUUGGGAGUAGCUGCCAUUGGAAUAUUUCUCAAAAAUAAUUUGAGUGUUUGACAAAAGAAAUCACAUUUAAGAGUCUUGGUGAUAAUGGGUCACAGCUGUGAAUGAGGUAACAUGUCAGUGUCAAAUAACGCGUGAAGCACAUGGCUCGCGAGUCAAAAAGGAAACAGUAAAAAUGAAAAAACAAACAGUAAUAAAAUUAUUAAAGACAAUAAUGCAAAUAAUAAAACAACAGUGAAAUGAAAUAAAAUAAUAGUAAAGUAAAAGGAUAUUUACACGUAGUUGCGACUGUGGCUCACAUCUUCCUCUGGUUUUACGUCCAGAAACGGCUUGAACGCCCUCUAUGGGUCGAUGAUGGGCUUCCUAUCCAGUUUUCUUAUAAACUGGCAAACAAGGUCGUUUAUAGUCAGAUUCCCGAGACUAUACUGUGCAUGCUCUUUCUGGAAUAAUGGCCAUAACUGGAGAAUCGCUCCUUGCACAUAUCCAUUGGGAUGCGUUUCAAGAGACAGAAGGAUAUCAUCCAAUGACUCCUUAUUCAAGCCAUCCCUAAUGAAUUGAAUCUUAUCUUCUCUGUUAUCAGACACCAUUCCUGCCAAUCGUACUUUAGCCUCGAUUAACCAACGGAUGUCUGCAUGUAUGUUAUUCCUCAUGAGCAAUCGCAUGCGUUCAGACCGAGCUUUAUAGAUUGUAAGGAGGGCAUUUUGAGGAAGUGAAGGGAAUCGCUUGUGAAGCUUUGCUAGAAUCUCAUUUCUAUCCAUACCUUCGCCUCAGAAUAUCAGUUAUUAUGGGAAACUGAAGUAACCGACUUGAUUGUCAUGGAGUACCAUUAUCCGCCACUUCACCGGGGUAACAAACUAAAGCACAUAAACAGAAAAACAAAUUAAAACACACAAAGAAAAUUAAAAUCGUCCUCUUAUUGAAUUUACCUCAAGCUCCAACUGGAUGUCGUAAACACUUCUCUCAAUAUCUCUGAGUUGGCUUUCUAAACCCUCAACAUAGGCUACUAACUCUGGUGGUCGUAGAGCCCAAAUGCAAUGUGUUUUACAAAAUUGAAUCUGCAUUUUGAGAUGAGUUUUGACAUGUUGAAGUGGUUUAAGAAUGUUCAGGAGGAACGGUCUAAGUAUGGUACUCAUGAUUAAAAAUGAUAAGAGAAAACUUAAUAGUUAAACAAACACACUUAUGUAAAAAUAAUUUCAAUUAGCAAAAGAAUAAUAAAAAGAAAGAAAGAAAAAUCAAAUCAACGAAAAGAAAGAAAGAAAAAAAAAUCAAUUCAAAUCUAGUGGGUCACUCAAAUUUAUUUCGGUGUCUUCUCCAUGUGGUUGGUAUUCUAGAUAUGGCUUUAAUCUUUGACCAUUAACUUUAAACGUGACACCGUUCUUUGGGUCCUUAAUUUCAAUUGCCCCAUGUGGAAAAACAGUAUGAACAAUAAAUGGACCAGACCAUCGAGAGCGUAACUUACCUGGGAAUAGGUGCAAGCGAGAAUUGAAUAAAAGCACUUUCUGACCUGGAGUGAAAGAUUUUCUCAUAAUGUGCUUGUCAUGAAAGACUUUCAUUCGUUGCUUGUAAAUCUUGGCACUUUCGUAUGCAUCAUUGCGAAUUUCUUCAAGUUCUGCCAGUUGUAAUCUUCUUUCUGAGCUGGCUUGCUGCAUAUCAAAGUUGAAUUUCUUGAUGGCCUAAUAUGCACGAUGCUCGAGUUCCACAGGUAGGUGGCAAGCUUUUCCAUACACUAGCCUGUAGGGUGACAUCCCAAUCGGGGUCUUGAAAGCCGUUCUAUAUACCCAUAAUGCAUCAUCAAGUCUUAAUGACCAAUCUUUUCUAUUUAGUCUCACCGUCUUUUCUAAUAUGUGCUUUAUUUCUCGAUUGGAUAUCUCAACUUGACCACUGGUUUGCGGAUGAUACGGAGUCGCCACUUUGUGUGUGAUUGAAUACUUUGUCAAAAGAGCUUUGAAUGCUUUGUUACAAAAGUGGGCAUCACCAUCACUGAUUAUUGCUCGAGGGAAUCCAAAGCGUGAGACAAUGUUGCUUUUCAAAAAUCCUAUCACCACUUUGUGAUCAUUGGUCCUACAUGGAAUUGCUUCUACCCACUUCGAUACGUAGUCAAUGGCAACCAAUAUGUAUUGAUGGCCAAAAGAAGGGGGAAAGGGUCCCAUGAAGUCAAUACCUCAUACGUCAAAAAUCUCAACCACUAAAAUUGGAUUUAAUGGCAUCAUGUUCCUUCGUGUAAUGCUCCCCAUUCUUUGACACCUAUCACAUGAAGAACAGAAAGUGUAAGCGUCUCGAAAUAUAGUUGGCCAAUAGAAACCACAUUGUAAAACUUUAGUUGCUGUUUUCUUAGCACUGAAAUGGCCUCCACAAGCUUGUUCAUGGCAGAAUGAAAGAAUAUUCUGAAUUUCACUUUCUGGGACAUAUCGUCUAACAAUUUGGUCUGCACAAUACUUGAACAAAUAAGGGUCAUCCCAAAAGAAAUUCUUUAUUUCCGCAAAAAAAUUGGUCUUGUCUUGCUUGGUCCAAUGCUCUGGAAGUUUACCUGUAACAAGAUAAUUAAGUAUAUCAGCAUACCAAGGUAAUACUUCCACACUCAUUAAUUGUUCAUCUGGAAAUGACUCAUUUAAUGGUAAUGGUUCUGUAAUUGUGUCAAAGUGAAGACGAGAGAGAUGGUUCGCCACAACAUUUUCUGUGCCCUUUUUAUCUUUGAAUUCCAAGUCGAAUUCCUGCAAAAGUAAUACCCAACGAAUUAGUCUAGCUUUUGCAUCUUUCUUUGUGAGAAGAUAUUUAAGAGCAGCAUGAUCUAUGAACACAAUUAUUUUACAACCAAUGAGAUAAGAUCGAAAUUUCUCUAAUGCAAACACUACUGCUAGCAUUUCUUUUUCAGUAGUUGAAUAGUUCAACUGUGCAACAUUCAAUGUCAUACUAGCAUAGUAAAUAACGUGAGGAAUUCGAUCAACUAUUUGUCCUAACACUGCUCCUACUGCAUAAUCAGAUGCAUCACACAUGAGCUCAAAUGGUAAGCUCCAAUUUGGGGGCUGAAUGAUGGGUGAUGAUGUCAAUAAUUGUUUUAAUUUUUCAAACGCUACAAGACAUGAAUCAUUAAAGAUAAAAGGUACAUCCUUAGCAAGUAAAUUGAAUAAGGGUCUAGAAAUUUUGCUAAAAUCUUUAAUAAAACGUCGAUAGAAACCAGCAUGCCCAAGGAAAGAUCUUACUUCUCUGACUGUUUUGGGUGGAGGAAGAUUAGAAAUGAGAUCCACCUUGGCUUUGUCAACCUCAAUACCUUUGCUUGAAAUGAUGUGACCGAGAACAAUACCUUGUUUUACCAUAAAAUGGCACUUCUCCCAAUUUAAGACUAAAUUCUUCUCGAUACAUCUCUGCAGAACUAGCGUUAGAUGAUGUAAACAUUGAUCAAACGAGUCACCAAAGAUAGAAAAGUCAUCCAUAAAGACUUCAAGGAAUCGUUCAACCAUAUCAGAAAAAAUACUCAACAUGCAUCGUUGAAAUGUAGCCGGUGCAUUACAUAAUCCAAAUUGCAUUCUCCUAUAUGCAAAUGUGCCAAAAGGGCAAGUGAAAGUAGUUUUCUCUUGAUCUUUUGAUGCUAUGGGAAUCUGAUUAUAUCCUGAGUAGCCAUCUAGAAAGCAAUAAAAUUCAUGACCUGCCAAUCUAUCAAGCAUUUGAUCGAUAAAUGGUAAAGGAAAAUGGUCUUUACGUGUGACAGAAUUCAAUUUUCUAUAAUCAAUGCAUACACGCCAUCCUGUAGUUACUCUAGUUGGUAUCAAUUCAUUAUUUGCAUUCGUAACUACUGUGACUCCUGACUUUUUGGGGACAACUUGUACAGGACUGACCCAUGAACUAUCAGAAAUGGGGUAAAUGAUACCUGCAUCUAAUAGCUUAAGGACUUCAGUUCUAACAACGUCUUUCAUAUUAGGAUUUAACCGACGUUGCAUUCCCUAGUAGGUUUAGCAUUUUCAUCAAGGUGAAUAUAAUGCAUGCAAUCUACUGGGUUUAUCCCUUUUAUGUCCGCUAUGGUCCAUCCUAAUGCCCCUUUGUGCUCUUUUAAAACAUCCAACAACUUACCUUUUUGUUCGUCGUUUAGGGAUGAUGAGAUGAUUACUGGUAGAGUGCUUUCUUCUCCCAAAAACGCAUAUUCCAAACUGUUGGGCAAUGGUUUGAGCUUGAGUUUCGGUAGUGAAUCUGAUGAUAGAAUGAGUUUCUUCUCUGAUGGUGCUAGUUGUUCAACUCUUGAUUUCCAUUUAUUAGUGUCCAUGGAUGGUGCUGAGUCAAGUAGGGCGUUGACCUCAUCGACCGAUCUGUCAAUAUCAAAAUCCAAACCAAAGUGAGUUAAACAUAUUCGUAAAGGAUCAUCACUAAGGUUUGAAACAAAAGUGUCAUCAACUAAUGCUUCAAUUAAAUCCACAUCAACAAGUCCAUCAUCUGUAUUGUGAGUUGUUUGGCAAUGUUGAAGAUGUUCAGCUCCAUAGUCAUGUUGCCAAAGGACAACUACAUAUUUCCAGUCCUGCAUUGAAUGUGAGCAUCCGCAGUUGCCAAGAAAGGUCGGCCUAGAAUAAUGGGGAUGUGCUUCCUUGAAUCCUGUAUUGGUUGAGUGUCAAUUACAAUGAAAUCAACAUGAAAAUAAAACUUGUCUACCUGGAUAAGCACGUCCUCCACAAUACCACGAGGUAUUUUCGUGAACCGAUCUGCAAGCUGUAACACCACUGGAGUUGGGUGUAAUUCUCCAAGCCCAAAUUUCACAAACACAAAGUAAGGCAACAAAUUUACACUAGCUCCUAAAUCCAACAAAGCAUUCUCAAUUGUGUGGUUCCCUAUGCUACAUGAGAUAGUGGGGGAGCCUGGGUCUUUGCAUUUUAGAGCAAUUUUAUAUUGGAGUAAAGAACUAACGUUUUCUGUUAAAAAUGCCUUCUUUUGAACAUGCAUGUUUCUCUUUUUAGUACACAAAUCUUUAAGAAACUUGGCAUAAGAUGGAACUUGCUUUAUAGCAUCAAGUAAAGGGAUGUUAACACUUACCUGUUUGAAGAUUUCGAGAAUCUCACCUGUGGAUUUUCCCUUCUUUCCUUUCGCUAACCUUUGAGGAAAUGGAGCUUUCGGAACGUAUUCUCGUGGGUUGGUUUCUUUUUUCUCUUCCGGUGAUGAGUCCUCAACACUCACAGGUACAAUUUGAUUUUCUUUUGUCACCGGCAUCUCCACUUUGUUGUCGACUUCUUUUCCUUUUCGCAAGGUCAUUACUGCUUUGACCUCUCCAUGCUGUUGUGGUGAACUGGUACUUACUUCAUGCACUCCUUUAGGAUUAGGCACUGGUUGACUUGGAAACUUGCCUUUCUCAACAGUCAUUGCCAAGGUUUGAACUGAAGAAGCAAGUUGUCCCACCAUCUUCUCCAGGCUUGAAACUGAUUGAGCUUGUGAGUUGAAGCCUACUCUCAACUCAUUUCGUAGUCCAUCAAUGGUGCGGUUCUGUUGCUCAAUCGUGGAGUGAGUAACAUUCUUGAAAUUUUGAAAUGCAUCCUCCCAUGGUCUGGGUUGAGAGUAGUUCUGAUUCUGAUUGUAUGAUCUAAAUGGUGGCUGAGAGGCUUGAGGAACUUGAGGAAUUUGUUGCAUUGGUGGAGCUGGAGCUGCUGGUCCAUUCUGUUGGAAUCCUUGAGACCAUGAAAAAUUGGGGUGGUCUCUUCAUCCAGGGUUAUAUGUGUUGGAGUACGGGUUGUAAUUUGAUGGUUUUCUCAUUACACCUAUGGCAUUGGCUUGAUCUGAGUAUGAGUCAAGGUCAUGUGGCUCAAUUGAUUUAGCAGUCGAUAAUGAUGCUAUUUGUCGAGAGAGCACUUCAAUUAUCUCCUUAACUUCUUUAAUUUCUGAAGUUGACUCGCCAAUGUGAACCUCAUUCACUCCCUUAAUUCUUCUAGUAUUCCUGAGUGAUCGACUCUGUUGUUGGGAAUUAUCCGCUUGUCGCUGGAAGAAUUCCCAAAUCUCUGCACUUUUUGACAUUAGCUCUCCUGCACUUGUUUCCAUUAGCCAUUCUUGCACAUUUGGUAGUAAUCCCUCCAAAACGUAUUGGCAUUGGUGCCAUUUCUCAUACCCAUGAUGUGGACACUUCAAGAGUAACCCAUUGAAUCGCUCCCAUAUUUCGAAAAACUGCUCGUCCUCUCUUUGGGUAAACUCCGAGAUUUCCCUGCGAAUAGCAUUGGUUUUAUGCACUGGGAAAUAUUUGUUCAAAAAUUUCGUUACCAUUUGUUCCCAUGAUGAAAUGCUAUUAGUAGGUAAAGUAUUUAACCAUGAACGAAAAUGGGAAUAAUCUGAGUUUAACAUCAUCGUCUGAAAAUUUUUCAUAUUUAAAAGUUUGACAAAUGGCAUGAAAAUCAUUUAGAUGAUUAUAUGGGUCCUCAUUUUCUAGGCCAUAGAAUGUUGGGAGACAAUUUAGCACACUAGGUUUUAGUUCAAAACUCCUAGCAGCUACAUUUGGGUAUCUUAUGCAUGAUGUGCUCAAAUUAGCUAAAGGACUGAAGUAGUCCUUAAAUGGCCUCUCAUGUGGUUGCAAAUCCAUUUUAUUUUUAAAUUGUUUGUGUGUGCGAAGUGUUUUUUCUAGUUCAAGGUCUAUCAGUUCAAGAUUAGGUAAUAAUGACCUACGACCAUGCAUGCAAAACAAAUAAAAUAAAAUAAAAAUGGGAACAAAACAAAUAAAAAUAAAGAAGAGGGAGAAAUUAUGAUACUAACCUUAUUGCGCUAUUACAACCUUUCUAUAAAAAUACACAAAAAUAAAUACGUGAAAUAAAUUAACUAAAAAUUAAAUUAAUAAAAUAAACAAAAAAUUACAGAAGAAAAAAAAAUAAAUUGAAAAUUAAAUUACGGAAUUUUAAAGAAGAGAAAAAGAAAAGAAAUACUAACCUUUAUAUGUAGAUUCACUUUUUUUUUCUUUUUCUUUUUUUAAAAAAUACAAGAAAACAAUUAAAUGGAAAUAUUCAGAAAAAUUAAUUCUAUGAAUUAAAAUUACUUACCUCCCCGGCAACUGUGCCAAAAACUUGUUGUGCAAAUUUUAAUGAACUCGCAAGCGCACGAAUCUAUUGUAGUAUAGAUCAAUGGUGACGAGUGUCGAUCCCACGAGGAGGUGGAUUUUAAUUGUGUAUAGAAUUAAUUUUGUAAAUGGGUGAUUGGAUUUGUGGUGGAAAUGAUUUGAAAUAUGCUAAAACUUAAAUUAAAAUGGCGAGAAUAAAUUCUAAAAUUGGUAUUGAAAUGGCGAGAAUAAAUUGAAGAGAAUUCUAUUGAAAUGACGUACUUGGGUAUCUGGAUCCGUAUCAACAUGCAUCAUGGGUUAAAUAUUCCUUAUUAAUACCAAUUAAAUCAUGAGGGGGGAAUCCACACCUCAUGAACCACGCUCUAAUCAAUAUGGUGCUAAGGGCUUAUCGUGCCAAAUAAUAAUAACCUUAUACUAGAGAGUCGGUGUAACCAAGACGGUAUCUAGACAAGAUUACUAUUAUUUGUCGACGAAAAGUCAAAUCAUCCACAAAAAUUAGAGGGGAAAAAGAAAAUAAAUUUACCAAAUAAAGUUCAUGACACAUGUUGAGACUUCACCUUCAACCCAAGCUUCAAAGAAAAUUAGCCACUCAUAAUUGAACUAGGGGCAAAAUAGGAAUUUAUUAAAAUACAUAGAAAAUACAAGAAGGAGAAGAAAUUACAGAAAAUGGAUCCCAAAAAUGGAUUCAGAGAUAUCAAAUUAGGGGGGAGAGGCCCCCUUUUUAUAGAUACAUGGAGUAAAUCAUGGCCAUUGGAUUAAAAACAGUUUGGACGCUCAGGAUUGCGCUACGUCAUCAGUCAACAGUACGCGGUUUGACCACGCGGAUGAACAGUAACACAGUUUGACUUGGGUGACCAGUGACGCGGUUUGGUUGAAAAUAAUCAUGUGUGAUGCAUGUACUGUACGAGCGAUUUUUUCGUCCACUGAUAUGCUGCCACGUCACCAUCAACAGUACAUAAGAAUUUUAGCCCAAUAAGAUCGUGACACCUCAUCAGUCAAUGCCACAUCAUCAGUCAAUGCCACGUCAUCGAUCCGUCUAUGUGAACAGUGUCAUGAACAGUAACGUAGACAGUACCGUCCACGUGAAUAGUACCGUACAUGUGAACAGUGCCAUUUUUCCUUUUAUGCUCUUCCUAAGGUUUUCGACCGUCCUGAGUUCAAAAGUGAUGUCCGUUUUGCCGUCUGAUCUCUCGUUUAUUGUGAAAUGACCAUGAUACCCCUAAAAUACAUAAAAUUCUUAAUUAAAAUCAAACACAGAUAAUUAAAUUGCAAGAAACUUAAAUACAUAAAAGUAAGGGUUGUUAGUAAAAUUUGAAAUGUAAAAUGAUGAUUUUGUCCUUUAUAAAUAUACAUUUUCUAACACUCAACAGCCACAAAACAGGCUUUGAGACUUUGGUUAACCUUUGCAUGCCUUAGGAAUUUUUACAACGCUUGGGAAUCUGCUCGCCUUCGCUUGGUCGAGCAGAUCCUGGCACGCUUGGCUACUGGUCACGCCAUAAACAGGCUUUGAGACUUUGGUGAGCCUUUGCAUGCCUUAGGAAUUUUUACAACGUUUGGGAAUCUGCUCGCCUUCGCUUGGUCGAGCAGAUCCUGGCACGCUUGGCUUCGUGUCUCGCCAUAAAACAGGCUUUGAGACUUUGGAACCUUUGCAUGCCUUAGAAACUUUUUGGAACUUUGGUGGUCUGCUCACCUUCGCUUGGUUGAGCAAAUCCUGGCAUGCUUGGCUUCCUGUCUCGCCAUAAAACAGGCUUUGAGACUUUGGUUAGCCUUUGCAUGCCUUAGGAAUUUUUACAACGCUUGGGAGUCGGCUCGCCUUGGCUUGGUCGAGCAGAUCCUGGCACGCUUGGAUUCUGGUCUCGCCAUAAACAGACUUUGAGACUUUGGUUAGCCUUUGCAUGCCUUAGGAAUUUUUACAAGGCUUGGGAAUCUGCUCGCCUUCGCUUGGUUGAGCAGAUCCUGGCACGCUUGGCUUCUCGUCUCGCCAUAAACAGGCUUUGAGACUUUGGUGAGCCUUUGCAUGCCUUAGGAAUUUUUACAACGCUUGGGAAUCUGCUCGCCUUCGCUUGGUCGAGCAGAUCCUGGCACGCUUGGCUCCUGGUCUCGCCAUAAACAGGCUUUGAGACUAUGGUGAGCCUUUGCAUGCUUUAGGAAUUUUUACAACGCCUGGGAAUCUGCUCGCCUUCGCUUGGGCGAGCAGAUCCUGGCACGCUUGGCUUCCUGUCUCGCCAUAAAACAGGCUUUGAGACUUUGGAGCCUUUGCAUGCCUUAAAAACUUUUUGGAACUUUGGUGGUCUGCUCACCUUCGCUUGGUCGAACAGAUCCUGGCAUGCUUGGCUUCCUGUCUCGCCAUAAAACAGGCUUUGAGACUUUGGUUAGCCUUUGCAUGCCUUAGGAAUUUUUACAACGCUUGGGAGUCUGCUCGCCUUCGCUUGGUCGAGCAGAUCCUGGCACGCUUGGCUUCUGGUCUCGCCAUAAACAGGGUUUGAGACUUUGGUGAGCCUUUGCAUGCCUUAAGAAUUUUUACAACGCUUGGGAAUAUGCUCGCCUUCGCUUGGUCGAGCAAAUCCUGGCACGCUUGUCUUCCUGUCUAGCCAUAAAACUGGCUUUGAGACUUUGGAGCCUUUGCAUGCCUUAGAAACUUUUUGGAACUUUGCUGGUCUGCUCACCUUCGCUUGGUUGAGCAGAUCCCUGUGUGCUUGGCUUCCUGUCUCGCCAUAAAACAGGCUUUGAGACUUUGGUUAGCCUUUGCAUGCCUUAGGAAUUUUUACAACGCUUGGGAGUCUGCUCGCCUUCGCUUGGUCGAGCAGAUCCUGGCACGCUUGGCUUCUGGUCUCGCCAUAAACAGGCUUUGAGACUUUGGUGAGCCUUUGCAUGCCUUAAGAAUUUUUGCAACGCUUGGGAAUCUGCUCGCCUUCGCUUGGUCGAGCAAAUCCUGGCACGCUUGGCUUCCUGUCUAGCCAUAAAACAGGCUUUGAGACUUUGGAGCCUUUGCAUGCCUUAGAAACUUUUUAGAACUUUGCUGGUCUGCUCACCUUCGCUUGGUUGAGCAGAUCCUGGCACGCUUGGCUUCUUGUCUGCUCAACGCUAGCCUAGCUCUCUUUCCUUAAAUUAUUAUCAUAUUGAGUAACUUUCAAGAAAUCAAGUUAACUAAGUUAUACCGUCAGCCCUAAUAUGAGCACAAUCAAUUUAAUGAAUAUAAGGCAUCCUCAUAUCACAUAGCAGGAUUUAGAGAAAUAAUUAAAUUUUCAUGAAAAAAUUACUUGUAAAUAAAAAUUUAACUUCUGACAUGUUCUGAUUGCUACAAACGUGUGCCUUCAAUGUACUCUCAUUUAAGGUUUUUGCUUCCUUGUUUAAGCAAGCUCAUCCAUUUACGCACUGUAACAUUCUGAUUUGCUUCGACUAGAUGAAAAUUGAUAAAGACAAAAAAUUGGCUUCUCGUACCGAUCCCUACAGACGGCGCCAAAUGUUGAUGCCGAAAUCCGGAUAAGUUGGUCAGAUCUCAGAUCCCUGCAUCAUCAUUAAAUUUGUUUGGUGGGAAGCUGAUGAUUAGUUAGCACCAUGAGCAGAUUUUCUAUGAGCAGAUGUUCUGUAAGCAGACAACCCAUGAGCAGACAAUCCAUGAACAGACGAUCCAUGAGCAGAGAACUCAUGAGCAGACAAUCUAUGAGCAGAUAACCCGUGAGCAGACGAUCCAUGAGCAGAUAACCCAUGAGCAGACGAUUCAUGAGCAGACAACCCAUGAGCAGACGAUCCAUGAGCAGAUAACCUGUGAGCCUGUGAACACAACCAACAGUCAGGAGGUGCCGGAAGUUUUUCUGGCGAGAACCCUCCGACGCUCAAGUCAGCGAUUCGGGUCUUAUUUGGAAAAACUCAUACCACAAUUCAUGUGGCUUAAUUAUGAUUGCUUUAAACAAAAAGCUUUUAACUAAAUUUAAAGGAAAAGAAUUCAAAAUAAUCAAUCUUAAAGAAAUCACAGGCGAAAGAGAAAUUUCUUUGUGGUAGAGAGAGAAAAAGGUCCCAUGGGUUCAGUUGCUUAGAGAGAGAGAGAGAGAAAGAGAGAAAAAAGGUCCAUUUCCUCAGGUUUUUAUAGGAAAUUAUAGCGGUUUUUAUCAUCUCCCCUAGAAUUCUCAAGAAAACUAUUAAUUUUCAGCCCACUAAGAAUAUGGUCCCUAAUAUUUCGGAGAAAAUAUUUUGACUGAAUCAUGCUUUCUGGUAACUUUUUGGUCGAGGUGACCAAUAACAUCCUAGUCGAGGUGAUGUGCUCGAGGUCACCACAUAUUAUUCUGGUCAAGGUGAUGUGCUCGAGGGCACCACAUAUUAUUCUAGUCGAGGUGACCAAUAACAUCCUGGUCGAGGUGAUAUGCUCGAGGUCACCACAUAUUAUCUGGUCGAGAUGAUCUGCUCAACCAUUUGCUCACUUUUAUUUUAAGGAGAACACGAUAAUGUAUGAGCAAACACCUUUAUCUUGGUCACCUUAUUUCAUUCUCUAAACAAUUAGUAUUUUAAAUAAAUAAACUUAAGCAACUUAAAAUGCUUAAGGAUAUUUUUGAAAUUUUAAAGAGUGUAUAAAAUAAAACUACAAAACUUAUUUUUUUAUAAUUUGUGUAUGAGUAUGCAGAGUAAUAGAAUGUUCAAAGUAAUAUUUAGAGUAUAAAUAACCCUACCCUAAAGAAAUUUAUGUGUGGUAGGGCGCAAUACCUCAUAUUAUUAUUCUAAAAAAAUAUUGGUAAAAAAUUAUUUUUAACUUAGAUAUUAUUAUUUUUCAUUGCAAAUACUGAUUUGAAAGUAUACUAACAAGUAAAGUUGAUAUUAGAGAAACUUGUGUGGGCUAUGAGCACUUUGUCAGCAUGUGCUUGGUUGAUAAGUCUUUUGAUGAAUUUUCCACGUAUUAGAAUUACACUAACAACAAGAAAGCAAGAACUUAAAUAAGUAGUUUGGAAUCGACUUGAGGAUUUAGAUAAAGAAUCUCUUAUUUGAGAUGUGCUUCAAAGGAAAAAGAAUUUAGUUGUGUAAUGAUAAGAAUAUGUUUUUAAAAAGAUAAAAACAUGUUUAUCUAGUUGAUAUUAUAACAUUUAAAAAAAAAAUCAUGAAUUUCACU
rnacentral:lncRNA from 1 species